rnacentral:rRNA from 1 species
GGGCCCGCACAAGCAGCGGAGCGUUGUGGUUUAAUUCGUUGCUACACGAAGAACCUUACCUGGGUUUGACAUAAUGGUGUAGGGAUCCGAAAGGUGACGACCCUUCGGGAGCCAUUACAGGUGUUGCAUGGCUGUCGUCAGCUCGUGUCGUGAGAUGUUCGGUUAAGUCCGCUAACGAGCGCAACCCUCGCUGUGUGUUAUAUGUGUCACACAGGACUGCUGGUAUUUAAGCCGGAGGAAGUGGGACGACGUCAAGUCAGCAUGACCUUUAUAUCCAGGGCUACACACACGCUACAAUGGUCAGUACAAUGGGUUGCCAAGCCGCGAGGCGGAGCCAAUCCUAAAAAGCUGGCCUCAGUUCAGAUUGCAGUCUGAAACUCGACUGCAUGAAGUCGGAGUUGCUAGUAAACGCAGGUCAGCUAUACUGCGUUGAAUACGUUCCCGGGGCUU